rnacentral:lncRNA from 1 species
GGGUCAUGAAUUGGAUCUACUCUAAUACCAUUUGAAUCAAUCCAAAAUUACACUAAAAAAAUGCUAACCAUAAAUUAUUUAAAUUUUUUAUAUAAAUAUCUAAAAUCUUUUCAGUACACGACCGAUACAAGAUCCUCACAUCCUCUAUUUCAAUCCUUUUGGCAUAUUUGCCAGGGUACCCAAAUCCAUUUCAAUCAUACUUAUGAACAUCAAGAUCUACUUAUCAACAUCAAGAUCAACUUGGUGACCGACUCCAAAAAUUUAUAUUGUCAUGUCGCAAAGUUUAUAUCGGCAAUUAAGCAAAGUCUACUUUGAUACUAUUUGAAAUGGCAUG